CAGAAAAUAGUUUAUAUAAAAUAUUAGUUUUGGAUAUUAAAGUUAGGUACUUACUUUUUUUUGA
rnacentral:tRNA from 1 species